UGAUGAGAAGCCAGUCAUCAUUGCCAGCUGUCUACGCAAGGAGUAUGCAGGGAAGAGGAAAGGCUGUUUUUCCAAGAGGAAGAAUAAGAUAGCCACGAGAAAUGUCUCCUUCUGUGUUAGAAAAGGUGAAGUUUUAGGAUUAUUAGGACACAAUGGAGCUGGUAAAAGCACAUCCAUUAAGGUGAUAACUGGAGACACAAAACCAACUGCUGGACAAGUAGGUGAAUUAUGUGGAAAAUAUGUUAUCUAAUGGUGAAAUAGAUUGAUAAGAUUUGAUGACCUUAAAAACAACAGAUUCCACUUAAUCCUUAUAUAACUGAAGUGAUUAAUGAACUACCCAAGAGAAUAAAUUCACGAAUUAUCACAUAAAUGCACACAAAAGCUAAGCACUGAAAGGUUGUCACAGAAUCCUUAGGGUGUCGCUUUUCCAGUCAAAACCUCUGGAGCUGGUGGCGCCUUUGCCCAAGUUUGGCUCAGACCCGCUGGGCUCAUUCUGUCCACUCAGCUCAGCAGGCUGCACUCUGUUCAUGCCACCAGCCUGGAUCCCAAGCCUGCCAA
rnacentral:lncRNA from 10 species